UGCGAAGCAGGCAGUGAUGCUGCGGCAGCUUCGCGCUAUGGCUGCUGCCGACCGCCAGGCGCUGCUACAGUGGAUGCGAACUACCGGUAAGUAUGCAGCAACAGCCCGAACCCACAGUUCACCUUGGUGCAUUCCUUUAUGACGAAGACUUAUUGAUUCAUUAUAUGAGAAAGGAAAAAUGAGCAGGAACUACUAUAUGAUGUGCAGCUCACACCAGACAGCGCCUUUAGGAUUAUCUUUCCAGUUCAGCAGUGCAAGUCUAUGGAGUAGAAUUGAAAGGAGACUUUCGCCAGUUGCAGGAAAUGGUCAUAAAAAAAUACCUGUUCACUGACAGAAUAAAGUCUCGCUCUGUCACAAGGCUGGAGUUUAGUGGCACGAUCUUGGCUCCCUGCAACCUCCGCCUCCCAAGUUCAAGUGGUUCUCCUACCUCAGCCUCCUGAGGUAGGAGCUGAGAUUUACAGGCACACUGUAAAUCUCAGCGUGCUGGAAUUACAGGCUGGAAUUACAGAGUAAUUUAUCCCUACUUAAAGAGAGAUUGCCCUACGUGUAACAGCUGCAUACAAAAAAGUUAUAAAAUUAUCAUUGGUUUAACAAGGAUAAAUGAAAAACAUU
rnacentral:sRNA from 1 species